CCUACGGGAGGCAGCAGUAGGGAAUUUUCGUCAAUGGGCGCAAGCCUGAACGAGCGAUGCCGCGUGAGUGAAGAAGGUCUUCGGGUCGUAAAGCUCUGUUGCGGGGGAAAAAAGGCAGCAUCAGGAAAUGGGUGCUGACUGAUGGUGCCCCGCCAGAAAGUCACGGCUAACUACGUGCCAGCAGCCGCGGUAAUACGUAGGUGGCGGGCGUUAUCCGGAAGGAUUGGGCGUAAGGGGUGCGCAGGCGGUCCUGCAAGUCUGGAGUGAAACGCAUGGGCUCAACUCAUGCAUGGCUUUGGAAACUGGAGGACUGGAGAGCAGGAGAGGGCGGUGGAACUCCAUGUGUAGCGGUAAAAUGCGUAGAUAUAGGGAAGAACACCAGUGGCGAAGGCGGCCGCCUGGCCUGUUGCUGACGCUGAGGCACGAAAGCGUGGGGAGCAAAUAGGAUUAGAUACCCCUGUAGUC
rnacentral:rRNA from 1 species